rnacentral:rRNA from 1 species
GCGCCCUUCGGGGUGAGCGGCGGACGGGUGAGUAACGCGUGGGAAUAUGCCCUUCUCUAAGGAAUAGCCUCUGGAAACGGAGAGUAAUACCUUAUACGCCCUUUGGGGGAAAGAUUUAUCGGAGAAGGAUUAGCCCGCGUUAGAUUAGGUAGUUGGUGGGGUAAUGGCCUACCAAGCCUACGAUCUAUAGCUGGUUUGAGAGGAUGAUCAGCCACACUGGGACUGAGACACGGCCCAGACUCCUACGGGAGGCAGCAGUAGGGAAUCUUAGACAAUGGGGGCAACCCUGAUCUAGCCAUGCCGCGUGUGUGAUGAAGGCCCUAGGGUCGUAAAGCACUUUCGCCAGAGAUGAUAAUGACAGUAUCUGGUAAAGAAACCCCGGCUAACUCCGUGCCAGCAGCCGCGGUAAU